rfam:Arabis alpina cultivar Pajares chromosome 7, whole genome shotgun sequence.
GUCUAUAAGCAACGGAUAUCUCGGCUCUCGCAUCGAUGAAGAACCUUGCAAAAUGCGAUACUUGGUGUGAAUUGCAUUAUCCCGUGAACCAUCGAGACUUUGAACGCAAGUUGCGCCCCAAGCCUUCUGGCUGAGGGAACGUUUGCCUGGGUAUCA